rnacentral:lncRNA from 1 species
AUUUCAGACCAGCAUGUGGAGUCUGCUGCACAACCUUUUGCAACUUGAACUGUCCUUACCCUACAGUAAAAAAGAUGGGCUGAGAGAGGCAGCUGUCAGUCUUCAUAACCCAAAGCCAGAUGAAGUUAGAUGUUGAUGGAGUGAUCUUUUCCACAGAAUGAAGUGGAGGCAUGGACAAUUCUUUCAUCCUCAACCACAGCUGUGGCAACCUGAGAGAACAAGACGAAUGGGAUCCUGUUUCAAUUGCACAUUCCAGAGAAAGAUCAUCGGAACAUGGCAGGAGGAGCAGAAGAGAUGAAAUACCAGGGUUGGAGGGAAUCGAGACUUGAUGGCUUCUUUUCCUUUUAUGCACAGGUUUUUUGGUUCCUGAAGAAUUCUGGGCGGUCCACAGUAAUUUCAAGACUACAAACUUUGUGCAUAGUCCGUGUUCCAAGAAUUUGAGUAGUGAAUGUAUAGGUUUGCAGCCACUGGGAAAAGGUCACAGUGGAACUGCAAAAGAGAACCUACAAUAGAGAGGUGCAACUGAAGAACAGAGGCCUUAAUCUCCUAACGUUACCAAAGGGAUUGAAGAGAAAUUGCUGAACAAUGUUUUUUACAGAUUCAGUGACUAUAGAGCCAGGGAAAGGACUGGAGAUCCAGCAGUGGAAAUGCAAGAAAGAGCCUCCAGUGGAAUGAGAACUUGAGAAGGUAAUAAAAUGAUAAACUAUCUAAAAUGUGAAAUUAAUAGGAAAUUGGUUAAAUAAACAAAUUUUUAAAUUGUAAUAAAUUCUAUUUAUGGAAUGAGGUUCUUGAAAUUUGAGAGCUUAUUGAUACAUGAUUAUUUUGUACAGAUCAUGUCUCUUUACCAAAUGAUGUUAAAUUUCAGUUAAGUCUUUGUAGUAUUCUCUGUGAUUUCCUACUAUUAACUCAUUCACAACGGGGAUAUUUAGGCUUUAAAUGGUCGGAAUGCCGGGGUCUUCAAACGCAUAAGCCUAACGCCUCGGGAUUCUCGGGUGCACUAGCCACGAGCGAGCGUUGUACGCCCUAUCACCCGACGUGCCAGCCUUUACUAAAUAUCUCAUUGCCGGUGUCUGACCCAAAAACCACUAAUUGUGAUAGCAAGUCAGCCAGCGCGAAUGGGUUAAAAACUGCAUUUCCUGCUAAAAUAUUCUGAGGACAGGAUAUCAUGUCACCUGGCAUGAAUGGGUUAACAAGGUUAGAUAUGUUUAGAUAUUCCACUUAAUGAAGAAAGUGGGUCUUUCUUAAGUGAUGAUGUUCAAGCAGAAAAAAUAUCCUUUCAUGUAUGAUAUUUCCAAGUUUUCUUUCCAGGUAUAAUGUGUUAUAUUUGUUUUGUAUUAUUUAUGUCCAUAUGUAAUUUUACAUACAUAUAUAUUAUUGUAUAUUAUAUAUAUUUGUUUUCAUUAUUGAUUUUGAUGUUCACAUUUAGAUUUGUAAUGUAGAAUUAGUAUUACUAAUUGCAUGUGCAUGUACAUCCAAUUAAUAUUGCAUGUGAAAAGUGAGUAUAUGAUUAAAAUUAAGCUUGCUAAAAUCUUGUUAAAAUGUAGUUGGAAUAGUGUUAUAGUCAAAUAAUCCCCCCCCCCCUCCCCACUCCCUGUGCUGUGCAUGUGUUGCACAUACUUGUACAAACCUCAUCUAUGGAAGCUAAUGCAAGUUCAACUUGGAAAAGUCUUCAUCCUGGCAGAGCUGGAGGAGCAGGAGAGGCUAUUUCCAGGGAAGGGAGGCCACUCAAGGGGACGAAUGAGGCUGGAUGGCCUAGAUUCUUUGUGUACAGAAAGCUCAGGCAUCAGAGAGGAUUGCUGUCACUUGGGAAAGAAUGGAGGAGUUGAGGAAGCGGCAUUGGAGAAAUGGUCCAAGAUUUGUCUUGGCACUGCAGAGAUGCUGCAGAGGAACAGAGGCCUUAACCUAAUACCAUUAACAAAGGGACUGACGAGAAAUUUCUGAACAGUUUUAAACAAAUGCAGUGAGGUAAAGAGACCGGGAAAGGACUGGAGAUCCAGCAGUGGACAUGCAAGAAAAUUUCCAGUGGAAGGAGAUGCUUAGAAGGUUGAAGGCUAGAAAAGCUUCCAUGGCUCAACAGACAAGUGUGCCCUGGUUAGCAGGAAGCGAGAUGCUGCUUGUGCUUCUUUCACAGUCGGUGGAAAUGGCCGACAUAGGCUUUCUUUGUUCCCAUGCAUCUGACGGGUCUAGAGGAGGAGCAGCAUAGCCAAAAAAGCCAAAAUCCAUAAAGUGGAGUCAGGCAACAGUGGGGCUGGAGAGGUCAGAAGGCUGGACUGCUUUAAGCUCUUUUGUUGCAGAACAUGACAGGAGGAGCAGAAGAGGAACAUUGCAUGGACAGAUGACACACCAGGGUUGGAGGGAAUCAGGGCUUGAUGGCUUCUUGUCCUCUUAUGCACAGGUUCUUUGGUUCUUGAAGAAAUCUGGGCGACCACAGUAUUUCAAGACUACAAACGUUGUGCAGAGUCAAGGUUCCAAAGAUCUGAGCAGUGAAUGGAUGGGUUUUUCAGCCACUGGGAAAAUGUUGCAGUGGUUUUGCAAAAGAGAACAUAGAAUAAGAGACCAGAUUGGAAUUUUCUGCAAAACUCGGUAGCAUGAAUUGGCUGCACCAAGUUGGGGGAAGGUAAACAUAAACUGUUGGACUGAACCUGGAGACUACUAUUAUGAAUGUAAGUACAAACAUCCCUUUGAUUUUUAUCAUUUGAUGAGUCUCACAAGUAUAUCUCAUAGGCAAGCAUAAAAAUAUUCUGACAGUUCGAAAUUUUCAGCUGUUUCUCAAUGGAUAAUCAGUUUCUUUAUUUUUUAGUGAUGUUUGAGCAACAAAAUAUGAAAAGUAUAAGAUGCCUGAUACAGUUUCAUGAUCUUGUCAUAUAUGGUAUUACAUCUCAUUUCUUAUUCAAAAUUUUGGUUUUAUAUUUAUGGAAAUAUAAACCCCCCAAAAAUAAAAUCUUUCUUUUUCAGUGUUCAUGUGUAGAAUUGUAUCAUAGGCCUAGUAGUACUAACUGCAUGUGCAUGUAUAUCCAAUCAAUAUUGCAUAUGAAAUCUGAGUAGAUGAUUGAAUAACCUCACUAAAUCUUACUAAAAGCUUAGUUAUAGUGCUGUCCAUUUGUAACCUCCCACCCCUCUCUCUCCCUAAGUUGCUCUUGAGUUGCAGUGUCUUCAGGCUGCAAGGGUUGAGGAGUGCCAAUGCACAGCAGAUGGAAGAGAAGUAAUUACCUGCUGAUGACAAAGACAGACAUGCAUGACUACCAGGAAAACUGCCAAGAGAAAGAGGAAGGAAAGCAUGGAAUGUGCUCCAAAGGCAGCAGGU